UACGAAGGGGGCUAGCGUUGCUCGGAAUCACUGGGCGUAAAGCGCACGUAGGCGGCUUUCUAAGUCAGGGGUGAAAUCCUGGAGCUCAACUCCAGAACUGCCUUUGAUACUGGAGAGCUUGAGUCCGGAAGAGGUGAGUGGAACUCCGAGUGUAGAGGUGAAAUUCGUAGAUAUUCGGAAGAAACACCAGUGGCGAAGGCGGCUCACUGGUCCGGUACUGACGCUGAGGUGCGAAAAGCGUGGGGAGCAAACAGG
rnacentral:rRNA from 1 species